rnacentral:rRNA from 1 species
UACGGAGGGUGCAAGCGUUGUCCGGAUUUAUUGGGUUUAAAGGGUGCGUAGGCGGCCCUGUAAGUCAGUGGUGAAAUACUGCAGCUUAACUGUAGCAUUGCCAUUGAUACUGUAGGGCUUGAGUACAGAUGAGGUAGGCGGAAUUGAUGGUGUAGCGGUGAAGAUGCGUAGAGAUCCGGAGGAAGACCGGUGGCGAAGGCGGUCUGCUGGGCAGUUUCUGACACUGAGGCGCGACAGCGUGGGGAGCAAACAGG